AACAGCACGUGAAAUUGUUGAAAGGGAAGCGCUCGUGACCAGACUUGCGCCGGGGCGAUCAUCUGGCGUUCUCGCCGGUGCACUCGCCCCGGCUCAGGCCAGCGUCGGUUCGGGCGGGGGGACAAAGGCGCCGGGAACGUAGCUCCCUCGGGAGUGUUAUAGCCCGGCGUGCCAUGCCCCCGCCCGGACCGAGGUUCGCGCUCUGCAAGGACGCUGGCGUAAUGGUCACCAGCGGCCCGUCUUGAAACACGGACCAAGGAGUCGAGGUUCUGCGCGAGUGUCUGGGUGGCAAACCCGCACGCGCAAUGAAAGUGAACGUAGGUGAGAGCUUCGGCGCAUCACCGACCGAUCCUGAUGUUCUCGGAUGGAUUUGAGUACGAGCGCAGUGCCUCGGACCCGAAAGAUGGUGAACUAUGCUUAGAUAGGGUGAAGCCAGAGGAAACUCUGGUGGAGGCUCGCAGCGGUUCUGACGUGCAAAUCGAUCGUCAAAUCUGAGCAUGGGGGCGAAAGACUAAUCGAACCAUCUAGUAGCUGGUUACCGCCGAAGUUUCCCUCACGAUAGCAGUGUUGUCUUCAGUUUUAUGAGGUAAAGCGAAUGAUUAGGGACUCGGGGGCGCUAUAUUGCCUUCAUCCAUUCUCAAACUUUAAAUAUGUAAGAAGCCCUUGUUGCUUAGUUGACGUGGGCGCUCGAAUGCAUCACACUAGUGGGCCAUUUUGGUAGCAGACUGGCGAUGUGGGAUGAACCAUAC
rnacentral:rRNA from 1 species